UUUUAUUCCGUAUGUUAUUUUUUCCUGUUUUUUUUUUGCUAUAACUAUCGCGUUGAGGUCUGUGAAAGGAAGAUGAUAUUUUAACCAAUUUAAUUAUCUACAAAGAAGGCUGGUUUUAUCUCUUAUCUUUAUAUUACCAUGCAUAAUACUACAAGCAGGACAAAGAAGCUGUCCAAUCAACAUUUUACAUAUUUAGAUAUUUUUGAAUGUUAAAAUUAAGAAGGACAAAGCCAUACAUUGGCAAGAUAACAAAUUCUACGUUCUUCAUUGUGAUGAAACGCAAAGGCUAUAUGACGUACCUUUUCACGUCACUUAGAUGUGAGUUAUCUGAAUUUAUUUAUUCGUCUAAUGACGACGGCAAGACGUAAGAUAUCAAAACUGUGUAAAUGCAACAAAGGGAAUCGAUAAUCAGUUUGUAUAUAUUAGACAGCUGCUAGUGUCAACAUCAUAACAAAACAAAAUGAUGUCGACUAAGUGGAUCCUGUUGUUUGUAGUCCUCGCUCUUCUAGGAGUUUCAGAAGCAUACUGCUGCGGUUCCGGCUGUUGCGGCAAUGGUUGUGGGUGUGGGUGCGUGUCGCCGUGCGGCCCCGUGGGUCCCUUCCCGCCCAGCGGUAAUUCAGCUGACAGAAUACUACCCCUGCUACUCGUGUUGCUUGCUCAAUAGUAUUUUGAACCGAUUCAAUGUUUCUAUGGACUUAUAAAUUAUUUAUAAAAUCGCAUAAUGUAAGUAAUGUUAUGAAAAUUAAAAAAAUAAUACCUGAAA